AAGUCGUAACAAGGUUUCCGUAGGUGAACCUGCGGAAGGAUCAUUAACAGUGAGCCCUGGUCUUUACCAGGGACUACACCUCUAACACUACAAAGAGACCCCCUGCUGCUUGUAACUUUUCUUACGGCUACAGGGUGUUGCUUUGAAUGUGUAAUGCGUCCACCCAUUGUGAAACUUAACCUAUGCUUCGGCAGCACUCUUAGCCUUAAAACCGCUAGAGGGGUAAGGCUGUCAGAAGCCCACUAUCAAACUAGUUGAUGAAAUGUCAUGCAGUCUGAUAACUACUAUUUGAGAAAUCAAAUUACGUUAAAACUUUCAACAACGGAUCUCUUGGUUCUG
rnacentral:misc_RNA from 1 species